GAAAUGCGAUAAGUAAUGUGAAUUGCAGAAUUCAGUGAAUCAUCGAAUCUUUGAACGCACAUUGCGCCCGCCAGCACCCUGGCGGGCAUGCCUGUUCGAGCGUCAUUUCAACCCUCAGAACCCCUUGCGGGAUCUGGCGUUGGGGAUUGGCAUCCAGCCAGCCCCGAAAUCUAGCGGCGGUCCCUCCGCGACCUCCCCUGUGCAGUAGCGAUACCUCGCAGCGGGACAGCGGUCUGACCACGCCGUAAAACCCCCAACUUCUCAAGGUUGACCUCGAAUCAGGUAGGAAUACCCGCUGAACUUAAGC
rnacentral:misc_RNA from 1 species